rnacentral:pre_miRNA from 1 species
GGUAUUAUUAUAUUAAUUUUGUGGAACGUUAACUACAGUAUUAGCAGCAACAUCAACUUUAGUUAAUGAAUACCGGCGAGUUAAGCAACUUUAAGU